UACGGAGGGUGCAAGCGUUAUCCGGAUUCACUGGGUUUAAAGGGUGCGUAGGUGGGCUGGUAAGUCAGUGGUGAAAUCUCCAGGCUUAACUUGGAAACUGCCAUUGAUGCUAUCAGUCUUGAAUACCGUGGAGGUCAGCGGAAUAUGUCAUGUAGCGGUGAAAUGCUUAGAUAUGACAUAGAACACCAAUUGCGAAGGCAGCUGGCUACACGAAUAUUGACACUGAUGCACGAAAGCGUGGGGAUCAAACAGG
rnacentral:rRNA from 1 species